rnacentral:rRNA from 1 species
AUUGAACGCUGGCGGCAGGCCUAACACAUGCAAGUCGAGCGAGCGGCGGACGGGUGAGUAAUGUCUGGGAAACUGCCUGAUGGAGGGGGAUAACUACUGGAAACGGUAGCUAAUACCGCAUACCAUCAGAUGUGCCCAGAUGGGAUUAGCUAGUAGGUGGGGUAACGGCUCACCUAGGCGACGAUCCCUAGCUGGUCUGAGAGGAUGACCAGCAAAAUUGUAACGGAGACACGGUCCAGACUCCUACGGGAGGCAGCAGUGGGGAAUAUGGCACAAUGGGCGAAAGCCUGAUGCAGCCAUGCCGCGUGGGGGAAGAAGGCCUGGGGUUGGAAAAGCACUUUCGGCGGGGAGGCGUUACCCGAAGAAGAAGCACCGGCUAACUCCGUGCCAGCAGCCGCGGUAAUUC